UACUUGAGGGUCCUGUUUGCA
rnacentral:siRNA from 1 species